AUUGAAUGCUGGCGGCAGGCCUAACACAUGCAAGUCGAGCGAGCGGCGGACGGGUGAGUAAUGUAUGGGGACUGCACGAUAGAGGGGGAUAACUACUGUAAACGGUGGCUAAUCCAGCAUACUAUCGGAUAACCCAUAUGGGAUUAGCUAGUAGGUGGGGGAAAGGCUCACCUAGGCCACGCUCUCUAGCUGGUCUGAGAGGAUGAUCAGCCACACUGGGACUGAGACACGGUCCAGACUCCUACGGAGGCAGCAGUAGGGAAUAUUGCACAAUGGGCGCAAGCCGGAUGCAGCCAAGCCGCGUGUAUGAGGAAGGCCUUAGGGUUGUAAAGUACUUUCAGCGGGGAGGCGUUACCCGCAGAGGAAGCACCGGCUAACUCCGUGCCAGCAGCCGCGGUAAUAC
rnacentral:rRNA from 1 species